rnacentral:rRNA from 1 species
UACAGAGGUCCCAAGCGUUGUUCGGAUUCACUGGGCGUAAAGGGUGCGUAGGCGGCCGGGUAAGUCUGAUGUGAAAUCCCGCAGCUUAACUGCGGAACUGCAUCGGAUACUCUCCGGCUAGAGGAAUGGAGGGGAGACUGGAAUUCUCGGUGUAGCAGUGAAAUGCGUAGAUAUCGAGAGGAACACCAGUGGCGAAGGCGGCAUCCUGGACCGGUAUUGACGCUGAGGCGCGAAAGCCAGGGGAGCAAACGGG